UGUAGGCACCAGGGCGCCAGGGACAGAAGUGGAGCCGGUCCCUUCCGCAUCCUUGCUGUUCUCCCCGCUGAGGGUCUGGUCACUGCCGCUCUCAGGCACCUGUCUUCCCUCUCCGUGCCGGAAUGGAGCCAAGACAAGGGAAUAUAAGAAAUUAAAUAGUACAAGGAGAUCGGGUGUCUGAGCAGCGUCUUGGAUAAUACCGUCCACUACAGAACCCCUAAAGGAAAAAGACCUCAUCUUAAUAAUCUCUGGAUAGCACCUGCUAGAUAGGAAAAAAAUCACAUGGAAUGAAGGUAUACACACAGAAAUCACACCCUGAAGAUUUUUCCUGUUUAGUUCUAAGCCCUGACCAUGAUGAAGUUUCUGGAAACGAUGACAAAAGAGAAGCUCUUCUGAAGCAAAUGUCUUGAUUUUCCACCUACACCAAUCCAUCCUAUCCAAUGUUACCAAAUAAAAUUU